GCAAUCGGUUAGCGCGUUCGGCUG
rnacentral:piRNA from 1 species